rnacentral:rRNA from 1 species
AUUGAACGCUGGCGGCAGGCCUAACACAUGCAAGUCGAACGAGUGGCGGACGGGUGAGUAAUGUCUGGGAAACUGCCUGAUGGCGGGGGAUAACUACUGGAAACGGUAGCUAAUAACGCAUACCAUCAGAUGUGCCCAGAUGGGAUUAGCUAGUUUGUGGGGUAACGGCUCACCAAGGCGACGAUCCCUAGCUGGUCUGAGAGGAUGACCAGCCACAGUGGAAAUGAAGCACGGUCCAGACUCCUACGGUAGGCAGCUGUGGGGAAUAUUGCACAAUGGGCGCAAGCCUGAUGCAGCCAUGCCGAGUGGAUGAAGAAGGCCGUCGGGUUGUAAAGUACUUUCAGCUGGGAGGCGUUACCCGCAGAAGAAGCACCGGCUAACUCCGUGCCAGGAGCCGCGGUAAUAC